rnacentral:lncRNA from 1 species
GGCAGAGGGAGAAGCAGGCUCCAUGCAGGAAGCCCAAUGUGGAAUUCGAUCCCAAGAACCCCGGGAUCAUGCCCUGAGCUGAAGGCAGACUCUCAACUGCUGAGCCACCCAGUCGUCCCAAAAUUUUAAAUUUUUAAAAAAGAUUUUACUUAUUUGACAGAGAGUAUGCGAAACAGUACAAGUAGGGGGAGUCACAGAGGGAGAAGAAGAAACAGGCUUCUCACUGAGCAGAAUCCUGGGAUCAUGACCUCAACCAAAGGCAGAUGCUUAACCAACUGAGCCACUAGGUGCAAAAUUUUGAUUUUAAAAAUUCUUUUACAGACACCUGCGUGGCUUAGCGGUUGAGCGUCUGCCUUUGGCUCAGGGCGUGAUCCUGGAUCUGGGGAUGGAGUCUAGCAUCGGGCUCCCUGCAGGGAGCCUGCUUCUCUCUUUGUGUUUCCGCCUCUCUCUCUGUGUCUCUCAUGAAUGAAUAAAUAAAAUCUUUUUUAAAAAUUCUUAAAAAAAAAAAAAAACCCUCAGGAAACGCCUGGGUGGCUCAGUGGUUGGGCACCUGCCUUUGGCUCAGGUCGUGGUCCCAGGAUCUGGGAUCAGGUCCCUCAUCAGGCUCCCUAUGAGGAGCCUGCUUCUCCCUCUGCCUAUGUCUCUGCCUCUCUCUCAGUCUGUGUCUCUCAUGAAUAAAUAAAUAAAUCUUAAAAAAAAAAAAACCCUGGGGAUCCCUGGGUGGCGCAGCGGUUUAGCGCCUGCCUUUGGCCCAGGGUGCGAUCCUGGAGACCCGGGAUCGAAUCCCACGUCGGGCUCCCAGUGCAUGGAGCCUGCUUCUCCCUCUGCCUAUGUCUCUGCCUCUCUCUCUCUCUCUGACUAUCAUAAAUAAAUAAAAAUUUUUUAAAAAACCCUCAGGACAAAAAACAUACUUAAAAUUAAAAAAAAAGAAAUAAAAAUAACCAUGCUUGGUUGGAGCAGUCUUUUCACAGUGCACUCUUGAAAAUCAAUGCUUUAAGCAUUGCACCUUACCACCAGAAAAAGUCACUUCUAGAAGACUCCACUGCCUCACUGGAAAAGGCCUUGUCAGGAAAUGCAAACCAAACCUUGUGCCACAAAACUCCAAGCAAUAGACCCUUGGAUUCACAUGAUACAUCUAAAGAAAGCACCAAACCCUGAGUGGACCUGCACACCAUCUAUUAAUCUGAAAGUGAAGAUUUCCCAAACUGGAUCAGCCUGCGUACCUUUCUCUCACUGUUGCUUCUCCUUUCUUUUAUGGGAAGACAAGGCCCCUGUUUGAAUUUAUCAAGCCCUUGUGAAAGGGGAAACUUCUUUUAUUUUACUAUGGCCUUUUUGAAGCAGUCCCAUUAUGAUCCUGUGACAUAUUAGUUUUUCACUUGCUUUUUCUAAACAGAAGGCUCAGAAUUCACAAAAAUCUUUCUUUAAUCUCAACUAUUAACCAAGCUUCAGAGAUUCUUAUUUAAAUUAAUGUUUUCUGAAUUUAAAACUUUAUAGGCUGUGUUAUCAAUAACAUUUGGUUCCAUACAGUUCUUUUGAGAUAACAAUACUGUUUUAAAAUGUCUGAAGUUUUGCUGUUUUGCAAAAAGUUGAUCAGCUAUUGCUUCAUGUUUAUACUUGCACUGUGUCUUCCCAAAUGCACUUGGUUAGUUCUUCCUGUGUGCUCUUGUGGUUUUGAUUCUUCUGCUUUCAUGGCCUUUUUAAUUGAAGACUUCCAGGAGGAUACACAACUCAAGGUCUGCUUCCAUAGGGAAAACUUUUCUCUCUUGAGUCAAAAGGAGUGCCAAUAAAUAUUUCAGUUGGCUACUUUCAGACCUAAGGUCCUGGUUUAGAAUCAUCAUACAAGAGACGCCUGGGUGGCUCAGCAGUUGAGCAUCUGCCUUUGACUCAGGGUGUGAUCCCAGGGUCCUGGGAUAAAGUCCUGCAAUGAUCCCAGGGUCCUGGGAUAAAGUCCCGCAGUGAUCCCAGGGUCCUGGGAUAAGGUCCUGCAUUGGGCUCUCUGCGAGGAGCUCACUUCUCCCUCUGCCUGUGUCUCUGCCUCUCUUUCUGUGUCUCUCAUGAGUAAAUAAAUAAAAAUCUUAAAAAAAAAAAAGAACCAUCAUACAAUUUGGAAUUGUCAUGUUACUUCCUCUGUUUUGUAUAACAAUUUUCAGUUUUGUAUUUUAUUGCUGGCCAAGCUUUUCUAAGAAUGAUGUACCCAAUAAGGAGGUGAUCUCCAAUGCUUACGAUCUUGGUAAAUUUGGACUAUACAUGGGAAGUGUCUGGGAGUUCUCCUUCCUAACCUUCCUUGUUACUCAAAUAUGGCCUUAAGCGGUUUCUAACUGCUUUGUACUUUCCCCCUGACUUAGGACCUGACAACCAGGAAAGGUCCUUCCUGGCACUGAAGCACAAAACCACUAAAAUCGUUAACUCCGGAUCUGUGAUGCUUUUGAGGAAAGAUCUGAUUAAAAGGGGAACUGUGAAAAUUAAUAAAGGAAUCCUCAAUAAAAUGGACUUGGGAGGUCGGAAGCAGAAGCCCACAUGCCCUACUACAUCAUCAAUGGCCAACCCAACAGGAAGAAACCCAGGAGAAGAAAGGAGGAUUUCCUCCCCGUGGGCAAAAGCCCAGGCUAUGAGAGACAGUCACUACUCAGCCAAUGAGAAGACACUACACCUCUGAACUCUCAGUUUACCCCAGUGGACUUUUUGUUUACAACAGUGUCUCCCCUUUCCUCUAUAAAAGAGCCUCCUCAUCUUUGAUCCAGAAUUGCCUACAGUUUUGCCAUAGCUUGCUUCUUUUGAAUGAUAAUUCUGCUAUUCUUGAGUAAAAUCAUUUUUCUGGUAAAAUAAAUGACAGUUUUAUUUUUAAUGUUAACACCCCA